GAUGAACGCUGGCGGCGUGCCUAAUACAUGCAAGUCGAGCGAACAGUUGGGAGGUUUGCCCCUAUAGCGAGAGGGGGGGGGGGGUGAAACACAUGGGGAAACCGUCUGUAAGAGUGUGAGAACAUUUGGAAACCGCAGAUAAUACAGGAGAACAUAGAAGAAAACAUGGGCUUCUAUAGAAAAGGGGCGUUUAGCUAUCACUUAUAGAUGGACCCGCGCCGAAUUAGCUAGUUGGUAAGGUAACGGCUUACCAAGGCGACGAUCCGUAGCCGACCUGAGAGGUGGACGGGCCACACUGGACCGGGGACAGGGCCCAGACUCUUACGGGAGGCACCAUAAGGGAACAUCCGGCAUUGGGGGAAAGCCGGACGGAGCAAGGCCGCUGGGGGGAGGAAGGCUUUCGGUUCGUAAACUCUGUUGAUUGGGGAGGAACAGUAGUGUUAGAAUAGGGCGACGUCUUGACGGUACCUAAUCAGAAAGCCACGGCUAACUACGUG
rnacentral:rRNA from 1 species